CACGUAGGGCGCAAGCGUUGUCCGGAAUUAUUGAGCGUAAAGAGCUCGUAGGCGGUCUGUUGCGUCCGCUGUGAAAACUCGGGGCUUAACCCCGAGCCUGCAGUGGAUACGGGCAGACUAGAGGUAGGUAGGGGAGAAUGGAAUUCCCGGUGUAGCGGUGAAAUGCGCAGAUAUCGGGAAGAACACCCGUGGCGAAGGCGGUUCUCUGGGACGGUACUGACGCUGAGACGCGAAAGCGUGGGGAGCGAACAGG
rnacentral:rRNA from 1 species